UACGAAGGGGGCUAGCGUUGCUCGGAAUUACUGGGCGUAAAGGGCGCGUAGGCGGCACUGUUAGUCAGGCGUGAAAGUCCUGGGCUCAACCUGGGAACUGCGCUUGAUACGGCAGAGCUAGAGGAUGGAAGAGGCUCGCGGAAUUCCCAGUGUAGAGGUGAAAUUCGUAGAUAUUGGGAAAAACACCGGUGGCGAAGGCGGCGAGCUGGUCCAUUACUGACGCUGAGGCGCGACAGCGUGGGGAGCAAACAGG
rnacentral:rRNA from 1 species